rnacentral:rRNA from 1 species
AUUGAACGCUGGCGGCAGGCCUAACACAUGCGAGUCGAGCGGAUGAAGGGAGCUUGCUCCUGGAUUCAGCGGCGGACGGGUGAGUGAUGCCUAGGAAUCUGCCUGGUAGUGGGGGAUAACGUCCGGAAACGGGCGCUAAUACCGCAUACGUCCUGAGGGAGAAAGUGGGGGAUCUUCGGACCUCACGCUAUCAGAUGAGCCUAGGUCGGAUUAGCUAGUUGGUGGGGUAAAGGCCUACCAAGGCGACGAUCCGUAACUGGUCUGAGAGGAUGAUCAGUCACACUGGAACUGAGACACGGUCCAGACUCCUACGGGAGGCAGCAGUGGGGAAUAUUGGACAAUGGGCGAAAGCCUGAUCCAGCCAUGCCGCGUGUGUGAAGAAGGUCUUCGGAUUGUAAAGCACUUUAAGUUGGGAGGAAGGGCAGUAAGUUAAUACCUUGCUGUUUUGACGUUACCAACAGAAUAAGCACCGGCUAACUUCGUG